rnacentral:rRNA from 1 species
GUUGAACGCUGGCGGCAUGCCUUACACAUGCAAGUCGAACGGCAGCACGGGGGCAACCCUGGUGGCGAGUGGCGAACGGGUGAGUAAUACAUCGGAACGUGCCCAGUAGUGGGGGAUAGCCCGGCGAAAGCCGGAUUAAUACCGCAUACGACCUACGGGUGAAAGCGGGGGAUCGCAAGACCUCGUGCUACCGGAGCGGCCGAUGUCAGAUUAGGGUUGUUGGUGGGGUAAAAGCCUACCAAGCCGACGAUCUGUAGCUGGUCUGAGAGAACGACCAGCCACACUGGGACUGAGACACGGCCCAGACUCCUACGGGAGGCAGCAGUGGGGAAUUUUGGACAAUGGGCGCAAGCCUGAUCCAGCCAUGCCGCGUGUGUGAAGAAGGCC